UUGGAGGGCAAGUCUGGUGCCAGCAGCCGCGGUAAUUCCAGCUCCAAUAGCGUAUAUCAAAGUUGUUGCAGUUAAAAAGCUCGUAGUUGAACUUCGGGGUUUACCCAUUGGUCAGGCUUAAUUGUCUGCACUGGUGAGAUGAAUCUCUACCUUCUGAGGAACUUUCAUGCCAUUUAUUUGGUGUGAUGGGAAAUCAGGACUGUUACUUUGAAAAAAUUAGAGUGUUUAAAGCAGGCUAACGUCUGAAUACAUUAGCAUGGAAUAAUGAAAUAGGACGGACUGAUUCUAUUUCGUUGGUUUCUAGGAUCACCGUAAUGAUUAAUAGGGAUAGUUGGGGGCAUUAGUAUUCAAUUGUCAGAGGUGGAAUUCUUGGAUUUAUUGAAGACUAACUACUGCGAAAGCAUUUGCCAAGGAUGUUUUCAUUAAUCAAGAACGAAAGUUAGGGGAUCGAAGACGAUCAGAUACCGUCGUAGUCUUAACCAUAAACUAUGCCGACUAGGGAUCGGACGAAGUUAAUUUUAUAAUGACGCGUUCGGCGCCUUACGGGAAAC
rnacentral:rRNA from 1 species